rnacentral:rRNA from 1 species
AUUGAACGCUGGCGGCAUGCUUUACACAUGCAAGUCGAACGGUAACAGGCCGCAAGGUGCUGACGAGUGGCGAACGGGUGAGUAAUGCAUCGGAACGUGCCCAGUCGUUGGGGAUAACGCCGCGAAAGCUGCGCUAAUACCGCAUACGAUCUAUGGAUGAAAGCGGGGGCCCGAACGGCCUCGCUCGAUUGGAUCGGCCGGUGUCAGAUUAGGUAGUUGGUGGGGUAAAGGCUCACCAAGCCAACGAUCUGUAGCUGGUCUGAGAGGACGACCAGCCACACUGGGACUGAGACACGGCCCAGACUCCUACGGGAGGCAGCAGUGGGGAAUUUUGGACAAUGGGCGCAAGCCUGAUCCAGCAAUGCCGCGUGCAGGAAGAAGGCCUUCGGGUUGUAAACUGCUUUUGUACGGAACGAAACGGUCCUGGUUAAUACCCGGGGCUAAUGACGGUACCGUAAGAAUAAGCACCGGCUAACUACGUGCCAGCAGCCGCGGUAACAC